AGAGAGGGAGGAGGGACAGACUGCAUUAUACCAAGGAGACUCCCUGCUACAGACAGGAGAGGAGACGAUGAAACAGUGGCCUCUUUUUCACCUGACUCCUUGCCGAGUUGUAUGAACUAGAUCCGUGCACUUUGACUCAUUAAAACUGUCUUUUGUUACAACUGAAAUCCACUCUGUCCAGCGUCCAUGAUUUGGUUCCCGGCCUGUAAACGUGGGCUUCCGAACGCAAGUAUCGAGUGGGGAAAUUCUUCAGCAGAGGGAAGGGCUGGUCGACUGCAUUAUACCAAGGAUACAGACAGGGGGAGACUGACUAUACGACCGUGUGUUUGCUGCAGCUCAGCGGUUUCAGGUCAAUGUAUCCUGUCACGCUGAUAUGUUGACAUGAUCCUAUAGUUCUACAUGACUUCUGUCUUUAACCGGACAAUAUGAGGAUUUAUUCCGUCUGCAUGUUGUGUUUACUAAUUAUUAUAUCAUCAACAGCAAGUGACACAGGCGGUAGAGACCUCCAGCUCCAACUCCAACUCCAGCUAAAUAAACGACAGGAACUGCUACAAGAACUGUCAGCCAGCAGGAAUGACACGUCUUAGGAAACAUCUGAUCUGAAACACAGGAAGUAGAAUUAUUACAAUACCUAAUGCUUAUUACACAUGAAAGGACUUUUAAACAGGAUUUACUUAACAGAUAGUGCCUUCAUUCAAAUAUCCAAAACUCUCACCUGGAACAUGAACCUGUCUCUCCUUCAUGUGUUUGAUCUCCAACUGUUGAACGCGACAGGUGAAGGUGUUGUUGUCAGAGUUCGGGACGGUGACAUGGCUUGUCACAGUGUAGCAGCCUUCACGGUCUCUGGACGUCUCUGUAGGUCCAGCAGCAGGGAGGACACGUCCCUGAGCGUCAAACCACUCCAUGACAGGCUCUGGGUAGCAGCCUUCAGCCUCACACCGCAGGACCACCUCAUCGCCUUCCAUUCCCCCAAUGAUGAUAACUGGUCUGGACACAGCACCUAUACAGUUCUUCUGUAAACAGUGACGUCCUUCCGCUGAAGACUGGAUUCUGGAGCACAAGAUCGUCCUUCUCAUCUCUGUAAAGAUGGACCUC